AAGCUCCUCCUCUCAUAUAUUGAAAACAAUAAUAAACAGUGUAUCUCUGUGAGUGUAGAAGCACGAAUAUCAUCAGAGAGGAGAGAGGAGCAAUCAAUCCACUCUCGUCUUCUCCUUUGUUAGCUUCGGAAUCUUCUUCUUCUUCUUCAAUACAGCUUCGACACUAGAAAUUCAAAAGAUGUUGUGUUUUACGAUCAGAUUUAUUUCCAACGUGGCCUUGGGUGAAUGCUGAAGGGAUCGACUUGGGACCAAAGUAUCCUCUGCGAUGCCACGAGCUGCUUGAUCGUGAACAAGAACGGUACACGCUCCCCACCAGGAAGUUGUGUACUGUCACUGCUGCGUAAUCAACUUCGAAAGGGCCUUCGAUUUCAUCGAGUGUGUAGGUAAGGCUAGUCAUGAGCUUUGUGCUUUGGAAAUCUGGUGUGGUGCUACUAACUACUUGAGCUUUGACGGUGAAUGAUUACAAGAAUAUACACUUUUGGAUACGAACAACGGCACGUAGUUCAAUGCUAGGAGGUGAUAGAAAUUUGUGUUGCUUUAUUGUUUGGUGUUAAUGAAAUGAAAAACAAUUUUCAAAAAACAACUAUUAGUCAUGAUCAAUUAAAAAGUCU